rnacentral:rRNA from 1 species
UACGAAGGGGGCUAGCGUUGUUCGGAUUUACUGGGCGUAAAGCGCGUGUGGGCGGUUAUGCAAGUCGGGUGUGAAAGCCCGGAGCUCAACUCCGGAAGUGCAUUCGAUACUGCGUAGCUAGAGUACUGGAGAGGAUGGUGGAACUCUCGGUGUAGAGGUGAAAUUCGUAGAUAUCGAGAAGAACACCGGUGGCGAAGGCGGCCAUCUGGACAGAUACUGACGCUGAGACGCGAAAGCGUGGGGAGCAAACAGG